UCGAUUAGAGUUUGAUUCUGGCUCAGAAUCAACGCUGGCGGCGUGCCUAACACAUGCAAGUCGAACGAGAAAGUGGAGCAAUCCAUGAGUACAGUGGCGUACGGGUGAGUAACACGUGACUAACCUACCCUCGAGUGGGGAAUAACCUCGGGAAACCGGGGCUAAUACCGCAUAACAUCUUCGGAUCAAAUGCGUAAGCAGCUUGAGGAGGGGGUCGCGGCCGAUUAGCUAGUUGGUGAGGUAAUGGCUCACCAAGGCGAUGAUCGGUAGCCGGCCUGAGAGGGCGCACGGCCACACUGGAACUGAAACACGGUCCAGACUCCUACGGGAGGCAGCAGUGGGGAAUUUUGCGCAAUGGGGGAAACCCUGACGCAGCAACGCCGCGUGGAGGAUGAAGCCCCUUGGGGUGUAAACUCCUUUCGAUCGGGACGAUUAUGACGGUACCGGAUGAAGAAGCACCGGCUAACUCUGUGCCAGCAGCCGCGGUAAUACAGAGGGUGCAAGCGUUGUUCGGAAUUACUGGGCGUAAAGCGCACGUAGGCGGAUCUUUAAGUCAGGGGUGAAAUGCCGAGGCUCAACUUCGGAACUGCCUUUGAUACUGGGGAUCUUGAGUUCGGGAGAGGUGAGUGGAACUGCGAGUGUAGAGGUGAAAUUCNUNNNUAUUCGCAAGAACACCA
rnacentral:rRNA from 1 species